rnacentral:rRNA from 1 species
ACGAACGCUGGCGGCAGGCUUAACACAUGCAAGUCGAGCGAGACCUUCGGGUCUAGCGGCGGACGGGUGAGUAACGCGUGGGAACGUGCCCUUCUCUACGGAAUAGCCCCGGGAAACUGGGAGUAAUACCGUAUACGCCCUUUGGGGGAAAGAUUUAUCGGAGAAGGAUCGGCCCGCGUUGGAUUAGGUAGUUGGUGGGGUAAUGGCCCACCAAGCCGACGAUCCAUAGCUGGUUUGAGAGGAUGAUCAGCCACACUGGGACUGAGACACGGCCCAGACUCCUACGGGAGGCAGCAGUGGGGAAUCUUAGACAAUGGGGGCAACCCUGAUCUAGCCAUGCCGCGUGAGUGAUGAAGGCCUUAGGGUUGUAAAGCUCUUUCAGCUGGGAAGAUAAUGACGGUACCAGCAGAAGAAGCCCCGGCUAACUCCGUGCCAGCAGCCGCGGUAAUACGGAGGGGGCUAGCGUUGUUCGGAAUUACUGGGCGUAAAGCGCACGUAGGCGGACUGGAAAGUCAGAGGUGAAAUCCCAGGGCUCAACCUUGGAACUGCCUUUGAAACUAUCAGUCUGGAGUUCGAGAGAGGUGAGUGGAAUUCCGAGUGUAGAGGUGAAAUUCGUAGAUAUUCGGAGGAACACCAGUGGCGAAGGCGGC